CUGGCAUUUCUAGCUUAGCAUUCUGCCUCCAGAAUCCUACACAUUACACCACUACAUUCUACUGUUAUUGUCAUCUGUAUCUUGAGACUAGCCAUUUUAUUUUUAGAUUUAGUUAAUUGUCAUUAAAGCUUUCUCUGGCAGGGCUUAUUUGUAGUGUAUAUUUGCUUUUUAGAUUAAUUAAUGAAACCUUUUGUUUAUCCAUCUCUUAGGUGGCAGCUGUUUAAAAACUGCAGGGAGUUGUGACAAGGUUCGGUAGCUUGAUUGAUGAUUUGAUUUAUGUCAGUAGUGAUGCUGUGACUGGAAGUGUACUUCUGAAAGUUGGUCAAAAAGUUACUGCAGUUGUGGAAGAAGAUAAAACAUCUCAUAGAUUGAAAGCAAUCAAACUUGCCGUGUCUCCCUGUCAGUCCCCAUUUGCCAACCCCAACUCUAACCUAUUUAUCAGGUGGAUGCUCUCUGUGAUGAUUGCCAAGAUGAUGAACCAUCUGACUCUUACACAAGGGUUUCAAUUGGUUGUAUCACCUCUGUAAUGGAAGGGGGUGACUGCAUUAAUCACACAGCUUACUUCUGUCUAGAUGUUGUUUGUAAAGAUACAAUUUACAUUUUAAGAAUUUUUAAAUGAAUUUUUACCUAUUUUCUUAAUUUUAUUGAUUAAAUUUGGAGAUGGUUAAGGGCACAAUAUUCAGGAUCAAAUUUGGAACGUGCUUAUUUGAUAAGAUGAUUUUUAUAGUAGAACUACUUUUCCAGUACACUUGACUACAAGGAGCAGAGCCCCUUAAUGUGUGAGGUCAAUCUUCGGAGUUGAAAAUAAUGUGAAGUAUUUAUAUAAUGUUUUUAAAAAAAUUCAUGCUAUUGUUUGUUGCAUUUUCAUUUAUUGAAUGCAGUUACUAACAUUUGUGUAAUUUUGUAUUCAUAUAGGUAUGAAUUUUUAAUCUAACUAAAAAAUAUUACCAGUAUGCAGGAUACUAUUUUUUAUAAAUAUUCAAAUGCUUUAAAAUAAGGUUUGGAGACAGCUUUGUACCUUUCUGUGUACGUGUGUGUGUGUGUGUGUGUGUGUGUGUGUGUGUGUGUAUUCAUUGUUGAAUGUUAUUUGCAAUUAGCAGAUAUUACAUCGUGUUGUUUUAUGUCUAAAACAAUAUUAAUCUGUCUAUGCUAUUUCAGUUUAAUUCACUUCAAGGUAGAGUGCUAGAUGCUGGGGAGACUAAGAUAAAUAAGACGUAAUGAAUGUUGCCUGUAGGGAACUCAUAGUCUAAUUGGGAGAGGCAGACGAGUAACAGAUACAUUAUAAUGAUGUGAUAAGAACAGCAUUACUGAGCAGAGGAGAGGGCGUGACUGAAUGCAAUGGAGAGUAUUGGGGAAGACUACCUGGGGAGGUGUUCCUUGCGCUGGACUCCAUGGCCUUGCAACUCCCCAAACUAGGCUGGAUUGUGAAUGGUGAAGAGAAGUAAGAAUUAUGUACCUGCUUCAGCCAAAUCAGCGGCCAUUUAGCUUGGGUACAAAAAUGGAAGUUAACUCAGCCACACCGGGCAGCUUUCUAUUUUACUUUUCUUGGAUAUGAAAGCCAAAACUUGAACUUAGUUGUUAACCCUGGAAGUCCCUCAAAGUGAUUGUUGGGUGGCAGUUAGGAAUUUAUGACCUGUUUAGUUAGAAAUUGCCAAUUUUGAAAGAAAAGGCUUUUGUGAUUGCUAAGCUCCAAAUGCAAUUUUUUGGUCCCUAUAACCAUGCCAACAGGAAAAUACCACUGAUGGUAGCCUUGCUGGGAGAAUCCUUCUC
ensembl:lncRNA